rnacentral:rRNA from 1 species
AACGAACGCUGGCGGCGCGUCUUAAGCAUGCAAGUCGAACGGUAACACGGGGCAACCUGGUGACGAGUGGCGAACGGGUGAGUAACGCGUAGGUGAUCUGCCUUUUGGUUGGGGAUAUACCGUGGAAACACGGGGCAAUACCGAAUAAGUUCCUCGGGUCUGGACCUGGGGAAGAAAGGGGCUACGGCCUCGCCGAAAGAUGACCCUGCGUUUGAUUAGAUAGUUGGUGAGGUAAAGGCUCACCAAGGCGACGAUCAAUAGCCGGCCUGAGAGGGGGGUCGGCCACACUGGGACUGGGACACGGCCCAGACGCCUACGGGAGGCAGCAGACGGGAAUUUUGGACAAUGGGCGAAAGCCUGAUCCAGCAAGGCCGCGUGUGUGAAGAAGGCCUUCGGGUUGUAAAGCACUUUUGUCCGGAAAGAAAUGGCUCUGGUUAAUACCUGGGGUCGAUGACGGUACCGGAAGAAUAAGGACCGGCUAACUACGUGCCAGCCGCCGCCGUAA